AAAAUGGUAACUCGGUCGGUUCCUGAUUCGAUUGGUUAGUCUGAGUUGGUUUUGAAAACACAAAUUUUGAUCAAUGAAAGAACUUUUUCAAUCCCGUGUCUCGACCUUGGGAGGGCUAAUUUUUAGCAUUGUUGGCAUUGUAAUAGGCCAUUUUAGCCCGGGCCCAAAUACAUAAACCUGAAAAUAAAAAUACAAUAAAUUACAGACCCAGUUUUAAACCCAAUAACACCCUAACCCUAAAUAAACCCACUAGCCUAAAACACUAAACAGAAUCAAAGAACCCUAAGCAGUUAGCAGCAGCCGCCUUUGUCGCAGUAAUCGUUCCACUGCCCACGUCGUUGCUCGCACGUUCAGCCCUUCACGCUCGCACCUGCAAACUACGAAUAGCACUAAGAGGAUAUACAUAGCAAAAAAAUUGUAAAAAGGGGGGGGGGAUUUCAAUUGUAUAAAGGGGGAAUGGAUUGAUGUAAAAAGGGGUUAGCAAAAUAUUAUAUUGAAAGAAAAGAAAUACGAGUAAAGAAUCAGAGGAGAAAAUUUUGGAAAGGUGAUCGGUUUUGUUUUUUUUCCCUGUUCUUUUUACUAUUUUUUUAUUUUAUUUUGGGGCUUUUCCUUUGAUUUUUAAAGCAAAAAUAAAAACAAAAGGGAAGGAAAAAGAGAGCUUAUCGUCGAGGCGUCGUCGUCGUCGUUGUGGCCGGUCAGAAAUGGGUUUGAAACGGUGGAAGGGAGAUGGC
rnacentral:lncRNA from 1 species